GCGGGUGUGGUUCAAUGGCAGAACGUCGGCUUCCCAAGCCGAAAGCGUGGGUUCGAUUCCCAUCAUCCGCU
rnacentral:tRNA from 1 species